rnacentral:rRNA from 1 species
CGUGUAGGCGGCUCGAUAAGUCUGCUGUGAAAGUCCAGGGCUCAACCCUGGGAUGCCGGUGGAUACUGUCGAGCUCGAGUCCGGAAGAGGCGAGUGGAAUUCCUGGUGUAGCGGUGAAAUGCGCAGAUAUCAGGAGGAACACCAAUGGCGAAGGCAGCUCGCUGGGACGUGACUGACGCUGAGACGCGAAAGCGUGGGGAGCAAACAGGAUUAGAUACCCUGGUAGUCCACGCCGUAAACGAUGGGCACUAGGUGUGGGAGGUGUCGACUCCUCCCGUGCCGAAGCUAACGCAUUAAGUGCCCCGCCUGGGGAGUACGGCCGCAAGGCUAAA